GGAUGGCAGUGAUGAUUUUUGUAUCGAUUCUCACCCGAUACAGAAAUAUGAGGGUUUGCAGUCACUACCUCAUCUGAUGCCAUCU